CUUUAAACUACAUUCGUAGUAGUAUUUGAUAAACCAUAGUGAAAAAAAAUUGUAUAUGUUAAUUUCAUGAGCUAUUUGGUUGCAUGAAGUAUUACGGGAAGCUGUCCUGAUAUACUUACAAUAGAGAUAAUCAUCUGGCUGGCAAUAAGUCUAAUUCGACAGGAUGUUGCGGAGAUCAGCAAGAUACUGAACAUAAGUUUUUCAUAUCAAAUUUUGGGAUGGCAAGUGCUUUAACAAAAGCAGGAAUAAAAACUAGGUGUUUUAGGAUCUCACCGAAUUCUACUGUAGUUUUGUUGACAUUUUUUCAAGGUUCUGCUUGACAGAAGAAUCUUUAUUAAAAACUCUUCAGGCUCUUGAUUUCGUAUGGGUUGUUUUUAAAGAUGGUUUUGAAGACAUCUUGUACAAAAAAAGAGAAUGUCAAGGAGUCAAGUCUGUUUUGAGGUUCCUGUUUGUAGUUUUUUUUUAAUAUUUCAUUAUUUCCUGUGUCCUCGUGGUGGACAUUUUAUACAAAGCUGUUUUGAGGUUCCUGUUUGUAGAUUUUUUUAAUAUUUCAUUAUUUCCUGUGUCCUCGUGGUGGACAUUUUGUACAAAGCUUCUCGUGUAUGACUAAGUCAUGUUUUAUCAUCACAUGUCCUGUAUGUAAAUUUCUCCUCAUCUUUAUAUUGUUAGGCAAAUCUUUCAGUUUAAGGAAUAACAUUCACUGAAUAUUCAAACCAAUGUUCAAUAAGCUUAUUCUUUGUUAUAAUCAGCCCCACAUAUGGGUUCAAGGUUGUAUGCUUGGUAUAUUGCUUCCUUUGAAGAUAGGUCAGACAUAUGAAGCGUCUGUCUUAUGCCAAAAAUUGAUAAGUAUCCAAUGACGGAUGACAUCAAGAGCGUAAUAGGAUAUGGGUACCCCUGUCUAGGCACCUUAGUUUUUUGCUGUGACUAUGGACUAUUGAUUAGAUCUCGGAGAACAGCUUACGAUUGACUUCGGAUGUUCAUGUUGUUUGCCUUCUCUUUAGUUGGGUUAAGCUGAUAUGUGGUCAUGUGACAUCAGACUUGAAUUUGUCAAAUUUUUAAACACAGCAAAGUAAAGUGAAACUUAAUGAAACAAAGGGUUGAUAGAGUACCUGGGCAUUGGCUAUUGUUAUUUAUCAGCCAUCUAUAAAGAGACUGAUAAAUAAAAUGCUGACUUAGUCUUGACAAAUUCUUAGUUAGAUAUUUACUUGAUGUAUUUUUGUAAUUUGCCAAACCUAAAGUUACCUUUCAAACAUGGUGAAGAGAUAUCUAUUUUUCAUAGCCUCAAAGCCUAUAGUAAUAGAAACUGUGUGUGUGGGAGACAGGGGAGAUACAAACACACAUUAAAUAAUCAUGAUAAGUUUUGGUCAAACCAUUUUUCAUUCAGCUGAUAGUAAUUUUUACUUUAAUUUUUUAGCUGCAUUUUUUAUUUUCUCAAGCUUAAUGUUCAACAUUUGAAUUACAUCACCCUUCAUGUCGUGACUACGUCUCGGAUGUGCAAUGAUUCGGCAUCUGUUGACGAGUCCAAAUCCUUCAUGGUCUCCUGCGCUUUGGCCUUUGUAUUGGUUAAUCCAGAUCAGUCAUUACUUUGUCAUAUUGGUGUGUUGCUGUACCUACGAAGGAUCGACACCCUCCAUUGAGUGUCAAUACCUUUAUCCAAUGCAGAAGAGUCUAAUGACACGUCUUCCUCCGAGUCCAAGGAGAUCGUGAGAAACUUCUCUGCAGUUAGAUACGUCCACUGUUCGCUGACUCAGAGAGUGAGCAGUGCCAGUGGCUGGGUACUUUUCGUCACUCUGAAGAAUAUGUCGGACUGGAAGAUAAAUAGAUGCGGUCUCAUUACGACCACUAUAUCUUUCUUCCUUCUGGUCUGCCCACAGGUCCUUGUACUGGUGGUGGAUGCUUACAAGUUGUUUGCUUAUCCAGCUCCUUCAAGAGGACAAGUUGUAUCUCGCCUAUGGUGUGUGGUUCUAGAGGUAAGAAGGAUGCGAGAGUGACUGGCGUCUCCACUUUCCCCUCCUCUUUUCCUUCAGGUUGAGAAUAGGACUUGAACUUGCACUUGCUGGUCGGGGAUUUGAUGCGAUAAGCUUGCACAUCGUGUAUCCUUUCUAUUUUUCUUAACAGAAUCAUAGAAGCUAUCCCGCUUCUUUAUCUAGCAAGGGGAGGAAGGAGACUGGCCCAAUAGUCUGACUCUUGAUCAUGCAGCUCCUUUACUCCAAUCAAGUCAGAGGCAGGACACUCCUCGCUCUUACGACCAGGAGGGAUAGCCCAGCUGUGCUGAACACCAAUCAAUUGGUCAUGACAUUUGUUGAAAGCAGCUGGAGAGUUAUUCAAAUCUACCAGAAUAAAUGGCAAUGCAGGACAAGGAAGAGAUAGCCAGAAGUCGGGAGAUUGUAAAACUUCUAAGAUAAUUAAUUUACAACUGUAUUUAGUUAAAGAAUAAAGUAGUAAUACUCCUAGAACAGUUUAAAAAUAGAGAGAUGGUGAUUGAAGGAGGAGGAAUACAUUUGAAGUACUGCUGGCUGAUCUUUACACCAAAAAACAUCAGAAGCAACUGCAAGGUACGUAAAUGUCAACAAUAAGUUCAUCAGUGGAAUAUCUGUAAAUGAAUGUACUUGAUAUUCAAUGGUUUUAAAGUCUAUAUCUAUUGUAUUUAUUUCUGGUAAGAGGCAACAUCCAGAACAAGAGGAAGAACGAUUAAAUAUAAGGAGGUACAUGAAGACUUAGGCCAUGUGAUAAUAAUUACCAAAUAGAAUAUGCUAUUAACGAUUAGUACAGAAAUUAUGACCUAACAAGAUUCAUGAAUAUUUAAAUUAGAAGUGCUCAACAAAUCAUUUAAUUGAAUGAAAUACAAGAUUUAACAAUUAAUAAUGAUGCCCAAUCCAAAGUAGUCACUAGCAGCAAGACAGAGAAAAAGAUUAAAACUGUUGCCACAAUGAGACCUUGGACACCCCACUAUUCGUGAUUCACAAACCAGAGGUUGGUCAAAGAACUGCUUUUGGAGUGGUCAUGUAAAAAGGUUCCCUGCUUUUCAGUGGUCGAGUAAAAAGUUUCCAAAUAACAUCCUUCAUUCUUAAUAAUGGAACAAGCAAUGAUAACACCUGCCAGGUUGAUAUACAAAGGCUGUGGGAGCAAACCAGUGAGGAGUGUGAAUAAUGAAAGAAGCAAAUCCUUGAGGUAUACUAACAUCUGUGUGCAGUGAGUUUUAAUUCUACUGGCACACUUCAUCACAUUAUGCAACUGUGUCUUGCAAUAAAAGCUUGGAAGUCAUAACUGCAUCAAAGAUUUCAGGAGUUUGUUUCAAUAAACCAAGUUAGAUAUGAGCGACCUCCAUUAUGUUAAUAAUAGGUCACACUGGAUUCCUUCAUUCCAUACCAGCAAGUUCAGUUUUCGAUGAGGCCUCUCGCAUCCAAUUAGGUUUGUUUAACGUCUGAAAUCUUUGAUGCAGUGUGUGCCAGCAGAGUUACAACUCAUUGCACACAGAUGGGGGUCUAUCUCAAUCUUAAUCAUUGCUGGGCAUGUGUAGUUAACAUCCCAAUCAAGAGCUUCUCGGCAUUCACAAACUUAUCUCCCUUCAUAAGUCAGCUUCCAGAUUCAAUCCAUUUUGCUUUCACAAUAUAAGGAACACUUCUCAAACCCAUUCCAUCAACUGACUCAUAGUCUUCGAAUCCUUUGUGGUUGGAAUAUUUAGGUAUUCUAUAUAGCUUCUUGCAAUAUGUACCACAAGGCAGUCUGAUUCUGCCCAUUGUACAAGUUAAAUAAUGUAAUAGAUGCCAAGCAUCACAAAGUUCUCCGUCCUUUGACUGUCUUCAGAUGUCUUUGCAUUAUGAAAAUAUCCCUGGGAAGGUGUAAGGCUUUACUCAUGUGCUUCAUAAUAAUUAUAUCGCUAAAGAAUAUAUGAUGAAGGAAAUUGACUGUAAAGAAUAUACGAUGACAGCACUGUACACUAUUGGUAUUGUGUUUAAUGCCCAAUGUUUUUGUUGAGUCAACAUGGCUUUCUUUUGCACUUAUGUUCAAGUGAUAGAUGUCAAUGCAUACAAUUUACAUUUUAUAGUUAUUGCAAUAUAUGUACAAACUCGUAAUCUAUUUUUUUCAUGUAUUGGAAAAGUUUUAAUGUGUACAUAAAAUGUGUACGAAUUAAUCACCAAGACCCCCUCCAUUAAGGUAGCCACUGACUGGAGGGGUAUCUACUGAAGAUAUACUAGUGAAAACAUGCAGAAUGGAAACUCAGAUGGAGAUGCCAGCAGACUUAAAAGUUGCUGAGCAUCAAAUUAUCCAUGCCAACUACACAGGAAUGCCUGGCAGUGUCUUAUCACAAGAAUGACUGACUAGCACAACAUUCCCCUCCAGAUGCUAAUGAACCUUGUUCUUGUUUAUAGUGGAGUGUUCAUCAAUGAAACUCCAUUUUAAAAAUAGAAUUUUUACCCACAGAGUAUCUUUGCCAAGAUGUAGCCUUUUGAAAUCUGCCUUAAAAACCCUAAAUAAUUUCUAAAUUGACCUAGGGAGCAUUAUGGAUAUCACCAGAAAAAAGUUGAGGAGUCUGUGAAUGAUCUUUGGAACAUCUCAAACCAAGCCUCUAAAUAGGAAAUGUCUAAAACCAAGCCCCUAAAUAGGAAAUGUCUAAAUAAAUAAAUAUUCUCUCCAGCUUUAAAGAACUCUUGAAACUGAGAACUAUGCCAACUCCACCAGCUUUUAUUAGUAUGUACUGUAAUGUCCAAGUGUUUAAAUAACAUGGCACACAAGGAAUUUAAGUUAUUUCCUAAAGUUCCUUUCAAAUCUGACUAAAACCCUGACACCUCUGGCCCAAAAACCUCUUGCAAGACUUCAGUAUCCCUCUCGCUUACAUAAAAUAUAUCCCUCUCGCUUACAUAAAAUAUAUCAAUACGUAGUGAUGCAUUCAUACACCACCAAAAUGAAAAUUAUUAUUAUAUAAAGGAUUAGUUUAUCCAGACCUAUGAAUAGAUCAAUUUGUAGUAUUUUCAAAUCAUGUUAGCAUUAUACUAUGAAGACCUAUAGUAAAGAAAUUCUCACCAGGAAACUGGCUGAUUGGAUAUUGAAAUCUUUCAGGUCCUAUUCUGAAUCCAGCAUAGUUAACUCUCUAACAAUUAUAAUCAACAUCUAUAAAGUCUUUUACUUUGUCCAAUAUAGUUAACUCUUGAAAAUAGUAUUAUAUAUAGUACUGAGAAAAUUGUAAUACGUAUAUGUACUGGCCUCCACUAUGUUUAUUGACAAUCAUCUAUAUAUAUCUGAAUAAAAUUUCUAUAA